rnacentral:rRNA from 1 species
UGAGCAAUCUGCCCUUCACAUCGGAAUAACCAUUGGAAACGAUGGCUAAUACCGAAUAUGACUUCGGAUCGCAUGAUCUGAAGUGGAAAGCUCCGGCGGUGAAGGAUGAGCUCGCGGCCUAUCAGCUUGUUGGUGAGGUAAUAGCUCACCAAGGCGACGACGGGUAGCCGGCCUGAGGAGGGUGACCGGCCACACGUGGGACUGAGACACGGCCCAGACCUCCG